GGAAGCAAAAGUCGUAACAAGGUCUCCGUAGGUGAACCUGCGGAGGGAUCAUUACAGAGUUCAUGCCCUCCGGGUAGAUCUCCCACCCAUUGCUAUAACUACUCUCGUUGCUUUGGCGGGCCGCUGGGCCCUGCCCGGCCGCCGGCCCCGGCUGGCGCGUGCCCGCCAGAGACCUCACAAACUCUGAAUGUUAGUGUCGUCUGAGUACUAUAUAAUAGUUAAAACUUUCAACAACGGAUCUCUUGGUUCUG
rnacentral:misc_RNA from 1 species